rnacentral:siRNA from 1 species
UGGAAUUCGUAGGUCAGACAUC